rnacentral:misc_RNA from 1 species
CCUUUCUAAGGAUCGCCCCUAAUGCAAUAGAUGCCAUUUUGGCUCUUGCGCUUCCGGCCGCCUUAACAAACUCAGAAGUCGGCCUUGUGCCGUCCUCGCCAUUCUUCCCCAUACUGAUCGAUACGGAAGUCCCGGCGGCUAUUUGUCCGCCGGGGUCUCCGGUGGUCCUGGCGGGCGCAGGGUUGUACUUUAGGUCCCUCGUCUGAUAUCUGACCCCUCGGACAUCAGUCGGAUCCAGCUUGCAUGGAUUGGCGCCUGUAGCUCAGGUGGUUAGAGCGCACGCCUGAUAAGCGUGAGGUCGGAAGUUCAACUCUUCCCAGGCGCACCAUCUUCGCGCGCGACGAUGGGUGUUGGAGCCGGUUCUCGGCGCAAGAGGUGAAUGGGUGCGGGGCCGUAGCUCAGUUGGGAGAGCGGUAGCUUUGCAAGCUUCAGGUCGUCGGUUCGAUCCCGUCCGGCUCCACCAUUCUUUAGGGCGUCGGUGACAGCGGCCCGGAAAGAGCCCGAUGUCUCGGGUCUGAGUGUUCCUCAUUGAUCAGUAACCAUUAUUCGUUAGGUGGUUUCCCGUUCCCAAAGAGGUUCGGGCACCGCUCUUUUACAUUGUGGAUGUGAGAUGUGCCUGGAGGAAGCAAGGGCGUGAGACCCCGAGCUUCAUCUGAGUGCUUGGUUUCCAAUGGAGAUCAAAGCCUUCUGGGUAUUUCUCAAAGCUGGUCUUGAAAUAGUCUGAUCAACUGAGAUUGAUCUCUCGAGCGUAGUCUCGAGGAUUGGAUCUUAAGCGAUUGGGAAAGGGCGUUUGGUGGAUGCCUUGGCGAUUGCAGGCGAUGAAGGACGUGGCACGCUGCGAUAAGCUCCGGGGAGGUGUGAGCACCCGUUGAUCCGGAGAUUUCCAGAAUGGGGAAACCCGGA